rnacentral:lncRNA from 1 species
AGCUGAUUCAUUUAACUUUAAAAACCACUGAUUUACUGCUGAUAACCCUGACAAGCUUUUAAGCCUUUGAUGAUAGAUAAUAGUCAAACUCCCAGGAAAGAAUGGAGCCUGGAGGAGAUGAUCCCAUCUUGCAAAGCCUACCCUGGCUCAAAGUAUACUCUGGGGCAUGACAAAGGAAAUGCUUUCUCACGGGGGCUUGGGACAGGCACUCCACUUGCCCUCCUGCUGGGGAUGGCCACGUCGUUGUUGCAGCAGGCUGGCUCAUGCUUGUGGAGUCUGAUGCAGUUAGUGAGGAUUCACAGGAAACAUAAAUCAGAUGAGCAGCAUGGUUACAGUCCCUGUCAUGCUGGUACUUCAGCAUAACCAUGCUGUUAUUUUUAGAUGAGAAAAUGACAGACUUUGUUUUUACUUUUGAAGUCAGAAUGAGGUAUCUCUCGCAAAGAUAAGAGACUAGGGCUAGUCCUGGUCUCAGGGUUAUCUAGUGGUGAGAUGCUAACCAGGCGUUUCCAUCACUUUGGGCCUGUACAUUCCUCCCACAAGCCACCAUCAUUUACAAAACAGAGCUCCAUUAGAAGUGACUUAUUUUAUCUGAUGGCUGUUCUGCCAGCAUUAGCACACACUGAUAGCAUCUGAAGUCUUGGUAGGAGACUAAGCCAAAUAAUGGAGAUUCACUCUUAACAAAUCUAUUCAAAUACUCUUUACAGCCCUAGCAAAUCUGUGAUAAGAGUUUACAUAUAAACAAUAUGCAAGGAACACAGGAUUACUGUCACACAGCCCUACUUCUUACAUCUUCUUCUAGACGUUAACAACUGUGUUUUAACAACUAAAAAACUGAGACAAUACUUUAUGCCAUGUUGUUUGGACGUAUAAAGAGUCUGAUUAGAAAAGUUUGAGUCAAAGCCCAGUAAAUCUGUGGAUGGGAUGCUGUUGUCUUGUAUGAAGUUCUACCAGAAUUUAAUGUGCUUAACCAGCAGGCAGAAUUCACUUUUUUCAGAAUCUUUUUUCAGAAUAGGUUAGUAGUACACCAACUUUUAUUAUAACUGCAUCUUUCAAAUAUUCCUUCAGGCUGUUUGGGAAAUUCCAAUCCUCAUUCUAUCUUUAUACCUUUUAUUUGCAGUAGAAAAGUCGGUGUUUUCACCAGGGUAGCUGUCUUAAAGCUGAAUGAAGACAAAAAAAACCAAAAAACCAAAAAA